UACUUCUUGCUGCUCAUGCCGCUGGGAUUGGGGCGGCGGAAAAAGACGACCCCUCUAGUGGAAAAUGAGGAGGCUGAGCCAGGCCGUGGCGGGCUGGGAGAGGAGGAGCCAGGGCCCCUGGUCGAAGGUAAGGUGGGGUGGGGAGGCCCCAAAUGGGCUUGCCCCCCCCGCCCCCAGCCUUGCGGCCCCGCCUCAUGUUCCACACCCAGCUGGCCCAUGGCAGUCCCACUGGCCACAUCGAGGGCUUCACCAGUGUCAAGGAGCUGUACGGCAAGAUCGCCGAGGCCUUCCACCUGCCAACUGCCGAGGUGAUGAUCUGCACCCUGAACACCCGCAAAGUAGACAUGGACAAGCUCCUGGGAGGCCAGAUCCGGCUAGAGGAUUUCAUCUUCGCCCACGAGAAGGGGCAGUGCAAGGAGGCGGAGGUGUUCAAGUCGGAGGAUGCACUCGGGCUCACGAUCACGGACAACGGGGCUGGCUACGCCUUCAUCAAGCACAUCAAGGAGGGCAGUGUGAUCGACCACAUCCACGUCAUCAGCGUGGGUGACACGACUGAGGCCAUCAAGGGGCAGAGCCCGCUGGGCUGCCGGCACUACGAGGUGGCCCGGCUGCUCAAGGAGCUUCCCCGAGGCCGCACCUUCACGUUGAAACUCACAGAGCCUCGCAAGGCCUUUGACAUCAUCAGCCAGCAUUCAGCGGGUGGCCGCCCUGGCUGUGGCCGACUGGGCACUGGCCGAGGGACCCUGCGGCUCCGAUCCCGGGGCCCCGCCACAGUGGAGGAUCUGCCCUCUGCCUUUGAGGAGAAGGCCAUUGAGAAGGUGGAUGACCUGCUGGAGAGUUACAUGGGUAUCAGGGACACGGAGUUGGCGGCCACCAUGGUGGAGCUAGGAAAGGAUAAAAGGAACCAGAAUGAGCUGGCCAAGGCCUUAGAUGAACGGCUGGGGGACUUUGCCUUCCCCGAUGAGUUUGUCUUUGACGUCUGGGGCAUCACUGGGGACGCCAAAGUUGGCCUCUACUAGGACUUCCUCCGGACCCUGCGAUGAUGAUGACCCGGGUCCAACUUGGUGGGAGGCCCCCCCCCCCCCCCCCCCCCCCCGCAAGGUCACCAAUGUCAGGACCUGAACCUCCGACCUGAGCCUAGCUCAGCAGCCCCAGGACGAUGGGGAGGGGAGGUGGGGCUGGGCCCCCCACCCCGUUCCAAUUGGUACCAUCCCCUCCCUGGUUCUCAGUCUGGCCGGGGUUCCCGGCCGCCCCCGCCCCCUUGCCCUGUUCCCACCUACUUCAGCUGGGUCAGGCACGGGGAGGGGAGGGAUGGGUCACAUUGGGCGGCCACCUCCACCUCCUCCACUUUCCACCAUCAGCUGCCAAACUGGUCCCUCUGUCUCCCUGGAGCCUUGGGUUCUGUUUGGGGGUCAUGACCUUCCUAGUUUCCUGAGGCAGGGAAUACAGGGAAGGGGGUGUCACUCCCCACAGCA